rnacentral:misc_RNA from 1 species
CAAAUUUUCUGCCAAAGCACCUUCUCGAGGAGCUCCACAGUCCGCCUACUCAACCUAAGCAAAAUGGCAACGCCGGGACCGAACUUCGAGGGGAAUCCUCCAGUGGCGCCGCAACCGCCUGGGACGGACAUGACGGGGAUAUGCUUCAGAGACCAGCUAUGGCUGAACACCUACCCUCUCGAUCGAAACUUGAUAUUCGAUUACUUCGCGUUGUCCCCUUUUUAUGAUUGGACUUGCAAUAACGAGAAGCUUCGAUUACAGUCCAUUCACCCCCUCGAUCUCUCCCAGCUCACGAAAAUGACGGGCAUAGAAUACAUGCUGAGUGAAGUGAUGGAACCAAAUCUCUUUGUUAUUCGUAAACAGAAAAGGGAUAGUCCUGAGAAAGUCACACCAAUGCUGACUUAUUAUAUCUUGGAUGGAUCAAUAUACCAAGCACCGCAGCUUUGCAAUGUCUUUGCAGCUCGAAUUGGACGAGCUCUUUAUUAUAUAUCAAAGGCCUUUACUACUGCUGCUUCAAAGUUGGAAAAGAUUGGAUAUGUUGAUGAAGGGGAGGGUGUGCCUUCUGAGUCAAAAGCUGGUAAAGACGUGAUUGACUUCAAGGAAGUUAAGCGAAUAGAUCAUAUCCUUGCCUCCUUACAGCGCAAGUUACCACCAGCCCCUCCACCACCACCAUUUCCAGAUGGCUAUGUUCUUCCAACAACAGAAGCAGAGAAAGGUGCUGAAACCCAGCAAGGAGUAGAGUCACAACCCUCUGUUGAUCCAAUCAUCGACCAAGGCCCUGCCAAGCGAAUGAAGUUUUGAAUUACAAAGCUUUUGUUUUUCUCAUUAGAAAGCAGAACUAUCCAUCCAAGGAACGGAAAUU